CAAUUCGAGGAAUUACAUUAAUUCCUUAGCGGGUACUAGAAUCCACACAGACUGCAUUCGGAUCUGAGUGUGGCUCGGCCAACCUUAGUGCAUCCAUGGGUAGGUUUCUAACCACUUGUUUCUCCAAACAACUUUCAGCAGUUAGGUUUUGCCCUAGGCAUCUCUUCAGGAGGCGUGUGUCGCUUCCACUAAAAAUUCUGAUUAGGUCCAACCAUUAACAUGACUACAUCAAGUGCAUCCAACAUUCGAAUAUCCAGAUCCGAGUGUAGCUCGGCCAAGCUGAGCAUUGAUCUGAAGGGCACAUUAAGAUGGUCAUAUGAUGAAUGAUAAUUCCAAUAUCCAAUAGACACCAGAUGUGUGGCGCCUCCAAUGCCUAUUUAGAAUAUUGGACUUAUUAUCAUGCACCUUAAUGGGAGGUUAUGAAUUAGUUAUCCCCAUAACUAUAUCAUUUUAAGGAUAUAAUAAUUUAUAGGAUUUGAUUUAAUAAUUUGAGAAUAAAAGAAAAAAUUGACCUACAAGUAGUAAAUCCUCCCACUGACUUCACUAAGUCAUGAAGAAGACUUUAUACAAGCUGAUCUAAAGAUACUUAAAUCAGUCAUACUGAUUUAUUUGAAUGGCAUGGGUCAACUCGAAUCGAUUAGUGAUCUAAUCAAAACAUAAUCUACCAUGUUGCCUAAGUGAGAUUGAUGGGAGGGAUAUACCAUUAACUCGCCAU
rnacentral:lncRNA from 1 species